rnacentral:rRNA from 1 species
CAGCCGCCACGGGAAAACGGAGGGUGCAAGCGUUAAUCGGAAUUACUGGGCGUAAAGCGUGCGUAGGCGGUUCGUUAAGUCUGUUGUGAAAGCCCCGGGCUCAACCUGGGAAUGGCAAUGGAUACUGGCGAGCUAGAGUGUGUCAGAGGAUGGUGGAAUUCCCGGUGUAGCGGUGAAAUGCGUAGAGAUCGGGAGGAACAUCAGUGGCGAAGGCGGCCAUCUGGGACAACACUGACGCUGAGGCACGAAAGCGUGGGGAGCAAACAGGAUUAGAUACCCCGGUAGUCCCUGUCUCUUAUAC